CUGUGGUUACAUGAUGACUAAAACUUUUUUCCCCAACUGAUCGACAAUGCUGAUCAGGAAUACAUUUAAGCCAAAACUUGUCUGAUUUCCAUCAG
rnacentral:snoRNA from 1 species